rnacentral:tRNA from 1 species
GGGUGCUUAGUUCAGUGGUAGAACAUCGCCUUUACACGGCGGGGGUCGGGAGUUCGAAUCUCUCAGCACCCA